rnacentral:misc_RNA from 1 species
CAAGAAUUACAGAAAGGGUGACCACAAGCAGCAGUAGAAAACUUUCUACAAGAAUGGCGUUCAUAACAGAUAUGGCAAGUAAGUUCUCUGAUCUCGCAAGAAGUAACAACUUCGUCGUCCUUGCCCAUCAAGCCAGCGGAUUUACGUGCCUCCUCUUCAUUAGCAAACCAGCUAUCGAGGGCUUGACUAACAGUCCACCUAUAGCGACGAAGAAGGAUACAUGCAUAUCUUUUGGGUAUCGAAAGAACAUUGGAAACUUCUGUUAUAUCUUCCUCCUGACGCCGCUUGAUGUCUGCUUCUUUCAAAACGGUGUAGUUUUUCU